rnacentral:rRNA from 1 species
GACGAACCGUGCGAACGUUAUUCGGAAUCACUGGGCUUAAAGCGCGUGUAGGCGGGCCGCCGCGUCGGCUGCUGAAAUCCCCCGGCUCAACCGGGGAACGGGCACCGAUACGGGCGGCCUCGAGGGGGGUAGGGGGGUCUGGAACUUCCGGUGGAGCGGUGAAAUGCGUUAAGAUCGGAAGGAACGCCCGUGGCGAAAGCGAGGCCCUGGACCCUUUCUGACGCUGAGACGCGAAAGCCAGGGGAGCGAACGGG